CAGCGCUGCAUCUCUACUCGCAGCAGCCGUAAAGCCUCGUCCUUGGGCAGCUUGGAGUCUGACAGAAGACAGAAGAGCUGCUCACCUGUUCGCUCAGGGCCUGACAGGCAGAGUCCAGCUUCUGCUGCAGAGCCAACAGUACAACCUCGUGCUGUUCUCUGAUGACAAUGAGGUCCCUGUCGUGCUGCUCUCUCGUUUUGGACAGGGUGUCAGAACGACAAAGUUCCAACAUCUGCUGCUUCAUACUGUCCACUGCCGCCUCAGCCACCCUCUGCUUUUUCAUGUUCUGCAAGCAAAGGGAAAACUAUGCUAUUAAACUGUCAGUUAAGAUAUUAAUGCUGCCUAUUCCAGUGAGCCCUUGACACCUGAUAUAGAAUACAAAGUUCAACAUUUUAGUGAGAUAUUUACUAAGUUUCAUCAGAUGUUUGGGCCUGCGCAGCUACCACUACAUUUAUUUUAAAAGCAUUAGGGAAAUCAAGUAUUGCUAAUUAUUGCUUUCUCAAAAUGUAUAUGUUGCAGCUUGAUUUGCAUUGCAUUUAUCUCCUGUACUGUACCUAUAGAGACCAUAGAUCCACUUCAUUAAUGAUGUACUGAACACUGUCUUUUUCUUUGCUCUAAUCAAUUAAAAGGGAAACAGGAAAAGUUAGGGUAGUGUGUGUCAUCACAGAACUUACCUCAUGGUCUCUCUCAGUCAGAAUCUGUAUUUGCUGCUCCAUUGCCUUCACUUUGUUUUGCAUAUGAACCUCGUUCUCCUUGGCCUCCUCAACCAAUUUGCUUGAUUCCUUUAGACUUACUGCAAGGCCAUCCUUUUCAUCUAUUGAUGACAAAAUAUGAUGAUGAAAACGGUCUCAUGGGAAGCACAUCCAUCAAAGAACAAGGGCACAACGGGCCAGUGCAGGACUCAAUGUUUCUAAAGACAGAGCAAGGCCUCUUCUCAGCCACAGGGGGGCAGAUAUGUCACAGAGUGAAAACAUAAACUAAACCAUUUUCAUUACCAAACUUAAUAAAUUACUAUAAUACAAAGACACACAGACUGUAACCCAUUUGUAAGGAGUCAAACAGACUUCCACAAUAAGUCAUAACAUGCAACAUAAAAAGUCAAACCUCCAAAUAUCAAAAAAUAAGACCAGUGUAUUUUACAAGCUUGAUUAUGUUCCGCAAUAAAGUGAAGUGCAACUCA